rnacentral:rRNA from 1 species
ACUCAGUGAAAUUGAACUCGCUGUGAAGAUGCAGUGUACCCGCGGCAAGACGGAAAGACCCCGUGAACCUUUACUAUAGCUUGACACUGAACAUUGAGCCUUGAUGUGUAGGAUAGGUGGGAGGCUUUGAAGUGUGGACGCCAGUCUGCAUGGAGCCGACCUUGAAAUACCACCCUUUAAUGUUUGAUGUUCUAACGUUGGCCCCUAAUCGGGGUUGCGGACAGUGUCUGGUGGGUAGUUUGACUGGGGCGGUCUCCUCCUAAAGAGUAACGGAGGAGCACGAAGGUUGGCUAAUCCUGGUCGGACAUCAGGAGGUUAGUGCAAUGGCAUAAGCCAGCUUGACUGCGAGCGUGACGGCGCGAGCAGGUGCGAAAGCAGGUCAUAGUGAUCCGGUGGUUCUGAAUGGAAGGGCCAUCGCUCAACGGAUAAAAGGUACUCCGGGGAUAACAGGCUGAUACCGCCCAAGAGUUCAUAUCGACGGCGGUGUUUGGCACCUCGAUGUCGGCUCAUCACAUCCUGGGGCUGAAGUAGGUCCCAAGGGUAUGGCUGUUCGCCAUUUAAAGUGGUACGCGAGCUGGGUUUAGAACGUCGUGAGACAGUUCGGUCCCUAUCUGCCGUGGGCGCUGGAGAACUGAGGGGGGCUGCUCCUAGUACGAGAGGACCGGAGUGGACGCAUCACUGGUGUUCGGGUUGUCAUGCCAAUGGCACUGCCCGGUAGCUAAAUGCGGAAGAGAUAAGUGCUGAAAGCAUCUAAGCACGAAACUUGCCCCGAGAUG